CAGUAGCCGCGGUAAUACGGAGGGGGCUAGCGUUGUUCGGAAUUACUGGGCGUAAAGCGCACGUAGGCGGCUUGGUAAGUUAGAGGUGAAAGCCCGGAGCUCAACUCCGGAAUUGCCUUUAAGACUGCCGAGCUAGUAGGUGAGAGAGGUAAGUGGAAUUCCGAAUGUAGAGGUGAAAUUCGUAGAUAUUCGGAAGAACACCAGUGGCGAAGGCGGCUUACUGGCUCAUUCUAGACGCUGAGGUGCGAAAGCGUGGGGAGCAAACAGGAUUAGAUACCCCCGUAGUCCCUGUCUCUUAUAC
rnacentral:rRNA from 1 species